ACAAGAAAAACAAAUUUUGCAUGGUUCCUAAGUAACAUUACUUUUCUUGACUUAUACACAAAAUAGCAAGGGGAAUGUGAAAAAAAAAAAAUAACAUUUGAAGAUUCUCGUUAAACACUUAUUUAAAGUGUAAGAUUUAGUAUUCUGAAAAUAUAGAUGGUGUAAAGUAAGGUUCCACUUAAAUACAUGAAUACAGUAGCUUUAAGAGCUCCCCACAAAUGAACACUGAAUACUGGUAUGUGUCAGCCCCAAAGGAGACAAAGACUAGAACCCACCUGAAGCUACCUUGUGACCAUGUACUGAAAGACAUGCGACCUACAGAGAGCAUCCCACAAGAGGAAUCAGAGCGCUGGGCAAAGAGACGCCUGCUGUUCAAGGACAGCAAACAGAGGGCCUCUGCUCAUGGGAGUUCAGACACAAGCAUCAUAACAGAAAAGUCAAGUUUGUGUAUACAGCUAAUCUGAGAGUAACAAAGUGAACUCAGAGGAGACUCGUUCUGUGGCUCUGGGGUUGCGGGAGAAUGAAGACAAGGGGUUUUAUACAGAAACCUUCCACUCGACCACCUGGAUCUACUGAGGAGAGGACAUCAGAGUAAAUGACAGCACCAGGUGUCUUAGCAAGAGACCCCGACCAGCAUCAAUUCGGGAGAGGACUGUGAAAAUCAUCAAAGGUACAGGUGACUAUCCCUGGGGAUUCAGAAUGCAAUUUGCUAAACCAAUCUUGGUGACAGAAGUAGACACAAGCCCGGAUACCCUCAUCUUAGUCAUAGGUUCUGACAUCAGCAAAUGCCCGAAUACUCCCAAACCAGCUUGCUGGGGAUACCUGCACAAACACACCAAGUCAGGCUUCCUGAAGGGGUGGAGGAAGAGGUGGUUUGUGCUGAAGCAUGAUGGCUGCUUUUACUAUUACAAACACAAAAAAGAUGAAGGGAAGUGCAGGCCGCUCGAGGCACUGAAGUUAGAAGGUGCUGAAGUGGGGUCAGAUUUAAGCCUCGGCAAACCAUUCGUAUUCAAGUGCAGUCCCCUGUCUGGGAGUCAGAUUUUCUACUUUUGUGCUACAUAAGACCAGGAAAUGAAAAGGUAAAUGUAACAUGGUCAUGAUUGUAAGUGUAAGAAUAUUAUUAGAUGUAUGAUAAUAAAAGUGACUUCAAAGAUACCACUGAGGUGACAUCAAGUGUAAUAGUAACAAGACAAAACAGAAGAGUGCCUCAGACUCCAACCACUUUAACAACUGCAGGGCCAGUUACUGAAACUGAAACUGUGGACCAGGUGAACUGGACACUUUGCCUAUAGUAGUCUUUUUCGCAGAGCUAUAUUAUAUGGUGUGUCAUUUCAUAUCACUGUUGUUUUAAAACAACAACAGUUAUUUUCCUGAGCGGGGGAUGGAGUAAAUCUUGUGCUAUGUUGCCUUUACCACUAACUACAAACACGCAUGCUGUGCUAGACCACUGAGUGUACAGUAAAUGAGCCACAUAAGCUGUCUAUCACUGUUCUUUUUUUCUGUUUUAUACAUUUUGUAUUGUUUUGUUUUUUGCCCAAAAGGCAUUUCUUUCCUGAGAUAUUUCACUGUUUCAGUGGUCUAGUUGUCAUUCUCUUUGUGUUGCAGAAAGCUCGAGGCAAUGGAGAGAGCAGUUCACCCUGUCACUCAGAAUCAUGUGUGGGUGGAUGACACAAUGCCAGCCUCCCCCUGUUGACUAUCAAAAAUCCUGAAUGUCUCGGUCUCCUUCACCAAAUGGACAAAAACAAGGAAAUGUGGGAUCUACUUGCAGGGGUAUACAGCGAGUGAGCAGUCCUUAGGCGCCUGCCACUCUGUGAUUCAGGUUAACCCCCUUCCUGAAGAGCAUAAACCUUCUACUGCGGUGCAGAGAAUGCAACUGAAAACAAACGCUGGAUUUCAGCAAUAAACGCAUCAAUUAGCAAGUGGCUGCCUUUAUACCA